AAAAGUUGCUUCGAACAACCCGAGGAACCCGCCGCUUUCGGAUUGCGAGACAUUUUUGGGACACCCUGUAGAAUGCGAUAGAAAUUCGACGCGGUAGAAAUACUCGAGCGUACCAGUUUCUCUGGACCAUAGCAUUAACAUUGGGAGUAACAGCGAUAUACGCUUCACGCGUCUCGGUUGCAAUGCGGUCGAUCAUGUAAGUUUGGUCAGUGGUCGAGCACGAACUUCCUGCGGUUACAAACGCUACAGUUUUUGGCGGUGGUCGCGACGAAAGACCUCUGGUGUCCGAGUUGGUGGAACUCGAUCUGCGAGCAACGAUGAUUUUCGUUCAUAAAGAACCUCGUUCCUCGCCCGUCGUUUCUCAUCCGCUCACCUGACUCGCCGCCGAGGAAUCUUCGACGGUAAAGCGUUUUCGUGUCUGCGCGACUGCCUCCCCUCCGUCGCAAUUCUGUCGUCCUGCGACAGUUUCUGCGAGAGCCCGCGUCGCUUGCCGGUUCCCAGAACAGACUGAAACACCGAAGGUCGAAACAGGUAUUGCGGGGAAAAAAUGCAAGGAAUUGUCGUACCUGCAUGCGAUCGAUCCGUUGAUCGCGCGAGGGCGCACUGGACGCAGAGUAAGCAGAGGAUGCAAUAGUUUUGGAUGCCCCGGGUUCGGAGGCCAAACUGGGGGGUAGUCGUAGGUGUCGUUGCAUGGCAUCCUCUUCGUCGCAGUGGACGUCGAACGGCAGCUUCUUCGCCGACGAAAAAGCAUUGGCGAUCGCGAGUCCCUUCUGGCAUGAAACUGAUCCAGCGAUCGUUCCACCUUUCGUUUGAUCGUCAUUCGAGCAAGGUAUAACGAGUAUUCGAGGAACUUGCUGCUUGCACUUUUUAACGGCUGCAGUCGCGGUCGAGGGAGGACGUUCGUUCUCCUUUCCGCUAGACCUGUCCUUUGAACUAGAAGCCUUCGCGAGGAAUGCCUUUCGCGGAGCCAACGACAUUUUGAAUAAAGGUGUAUAUAUACAAAUAAAUUAGAUUGAAUUAAAAUCAAUUAGAAUAAAUUAAAUCGUUCACGAGAUCGCAUCCGCAACCGUUGACGGACUCGUCCGUUUUUGAAUCGCACCUACUCGACGUACAGUUACGUGUCCGGACGCGCGUAACAACAUUUAGCGUGUUUACGUUAGAACGACAGUGCGACCGUUCGUCUUGACUGAUCGUCGCGCGAAGCCUCGCGACGUUCGUGACACUAGCGACACUCGCGAGCCUCGCACACGGGCAGGGUGCCGAACAGGAACGAUCGCGGGAUUCGUGUUCGGCUCGACAGGAGCGCGGCGGAUCUUCCCGGGGAUCGCGUCGCUUCGCCGCGAGGCGAUCAAUCUUUCGACAAGCAACGCCAUCCAGGUGACGAGAAACGCGAGGGCUAGAAAGAUGAGCAACGGCAUCGCGUCCUCCAGUUCGACUGAGGACCAUCCGCUUUCGAGCUGAAACCAGACGAGCAUCCGCGUACAAUUACACAGGACUGGCCAAGCUCGCAGUGCGACAAACAAUGGACUAAAGCGGAUACUUCGCAUUGGUGUCGAGUUAAAAAAUUAAGAUCAGCUUAUCUUGUUUUACGAAAGUGUUGUUAUUUAGUUUUGUCGAUCGGUGCAUACUUGUUCUUUCUUGACAGAAUAUCAGGUGUUGCGUCUAGAAACGAUCAAAAAUCAUUUGCCCUACAACCACGUGUGAGAUACGUGGUCAGAUAAUCGGGCCAGAAGCGAGAACCGUGGUGCGUCAGUCGGGCCAAAUAUAAACAACACGAAUCAGACUCGUGUUAGAAUAGGGAAUACGUGUUUUGGGAUUUUUUGUUUUUCGUCGUUUAACAAUAAUUAUGCAUAACGAAUGAUAGUCUUGCACCACGUGCGGAGUGUCAUUGAGUACAACAAAAGAAUGAUUGGAAUUGAUCGGGAAGACCAAACGCUAGUGUGUGUGUGCUUCCCUGUUAUGAGAAAAUAUAUGAAAGGAUACCGAAAAUUUUCUUUUAUGUCUUUGAUAUACAAAAUAAAUGAUGAAGAAAAACAGAGUUAUACGUUGAACAUAAAAUUGAAA